rnacentral:rRNA from 1 species
UACGAAGGGGGCUAGCGUUGUUCGGAUUUACUGGGCGUAAAGCGCACGUAGGCGGUUUGUUAAGUCAGGGGUGAAAUCCUGGAGCUCAACUCCAGAAUUGCCUUUGAUACUGGCAAGCUAGAGUCCGGAAGAGGUAAGUGGAACUCCUAGUGUAGAGGUGGAAUUCGUAGAUAUUAGGAAGAACACCAGUGGCGAAGGCGGCUUACUGGUCCGGAACUGACGCUGAGGUGCGAAAGCGUGGGGAGCAAACAGG